GGUAGCUCAACGGCAGAGCAUUCGGCUGUUAACCGAAGGGUUGUAGGUUCGAAUCCUACCC
rnacentral:tRNA from 2 species